rnacentral:rRNA from 1 species
AUGAACGCUAGCUACAGGCUUAACACAUGCAAGUCGAGGGGAAACGAUGAGAGAGCUUGCUCUCUUAGGCGUCGACCGGCGCACGGGUGAGUAACGCGUAUCCAACCUACCCAUUACAGGGGGAUAACCUUGCGAAAGUAAGACUAAUACCCCAUGGCAUUUUAUGGUGGCAUCAUUAUAGGAUUAAAGAUUUCUUGGUAAUGGAUGGGGAUGCGUCUGAUUAGCUUGUUGGCGGGGUAACGGCCCACCAAGGCAACGAUCAGUAGGGGUUCUGAGAGGAAGGUCCCCCACAUUGGAACUGAGACACGGUCCAAACUCCUACGGGAGGCAGCAGUGAGGAAUAUUGGUCAAUGGGCGAGAGCUUGAACCAGCCAAGUAGCGUGCAGGAUGACGGCCCUAUGGGUUGUAAACUGCUUUUAUAGGGGAAUAAAGUGAGCUACGUGUAGUUUAUUGCAUGUACCCUAUGAAUAAGGACCGGCUAAUUCCGUG